GGGUCAGUAGCUUAAUUAGAGUGGUGAACUUUUAAUUCACUGGUGAAGUUUAACAUCCAACUUCCGAUCCUA
rnacentral:tRNA from 1 species